rnacentral:rRNA from 1 species
UACGUAGGGGGCAAGCGUUGUCCGGAAUCAUUGGGCGUAAAGCGCGUGUAGGCGGCCCGGUAAGUCCGCUGUGAAAGUCCAGGGCUCAACCCUGGGAUGCCGGUGGAUACUGUCGGGCUCGAGUCCGGAAGAGGCGAGUGGAAUUCCUGGUGGUAGCGGUGAAAUGCGCAGAGUAUCGAGGAGGAACACCAAUGGCGAAGGCAGCUCGCUGGGACGUGAGCUGACGCUGAGACGCGAAAGCGUGGGGAGCAAACAGGAUAGAUACC